rfam:Camelus ferus unplaced genomic scaffold scaffold444, whole genome shotgun sequence.
GAGGGUAUAGCUCAGUGGUAGAGUGAGUACUUAGCAAGCAGGAGGUCCCGGGUUCAAUCCCCAGUAUCUCCA